rnacentral:lncRNA from 1 species
CAAGAUCCGCAAGGGAUUGGUGGGGGAAUCAACUUUUCUCUUGGUGGAAGUGUGGAUCUAGGCCUUCUCAACCAACCCCUAAAGAAUCAAUAAGUUUGAUUGGCUAGGGAGAGAGAUCGGGCACUUUUGAGCUUAGGGAGCAACAAUGGAGCUUGGGAGGGAAAGAGAUGGGGUUCCAUAGCUAGAAGAACCCUUUAUAUAGUGGGGGGGAAAAUCCAACCGUUUUCCCACUCACAGCCCGUGCCUAGCGGUACUACCGCUGGCUGCAGCGGUACUACCGCUGGGCCCCUG